rnacentral:rRNA from 1 species
AGGACGAACGCUGGCGGCGUGCUUAACACAUGCAAGUCGAGCGGAAAGGCCCUUCGGGGUACUCGAGCGGCGAACGGGUGAGUAACACGUGAGUAACCUGCCCCUAGCUCUGGGAUAGCUCCGGGAAACCGGGAUUAAUACCAGAUACGACCACUUUAGACAUCUGUCGUGGUGGAAAGGAUUCCGGCGUAGGGAUGGGCUCGCGGCCUAUCAGCUUGUUGGUGGGUAACGGCCUACAAGGCGACGACGGGUA